rnacentral:rRNA from 1 species
UACGUAGGGUGCGAGCGUUUGUCCGGAAUUAUUGGGCGUAAAGGGCUCGUAGGCGGUUUGUCGCGUCGGGAGUGAAAUCCACUGGCUUAACUGGUGGCUUGCUUUCGAUACGGGCAGACUGGAGGUAUGCAGGGGGAGAACGGAAUUCCUGGUGUAGCGGUGAAAUGCGCAGAUAUCAGGAGGAACACCGGUGGCGAAGGCGGUUCUCUGGGCAUGUCCUGACGCUGAGGAGCGAAAGUGUGGGGAGCGAACAGG